rnacentral:rRNA from 1 species
AAGAAGAGGAACCAUGAAUUUCAGUAAAUUAAUAACUCCUAUUAAUUUUAUUUAUAUGGUGGCACAAAAUCGGAAGCCCCGACUGUUUACUAAAAACACAACUAUCUGCAAUUAUGAAAAUAAUAGUAUAGGUAGUGAGAUUUGCCCAAUGCCAUAUUAAUAAGUAAUAAUAAUGGGUAACUGUUUCUUUACAAAAAAUUGGUUAAUAGCGGUCUUAACUAUGAGGAUCCUAAGGUAGCAAAAUAAAUUGGCCAUUAAAUGUGGUCCAGUAUCAAUAAUUUAACGAUGGCUUCACUGUCUCUACAACUUGCUCAGUGAAAUUGAAUUACCCGUGCAGAUGCGGGUUACCUCAAAGAGGACGGGAAGACCCUAU